UUAAGUGGGUACACUAAUUAUCUCGAAAAGUAUUAACUUUUUUUGAAUUUUUUUUUUUUUAAACUUCUAUGUUUAUGUUUUUCUAAAACCGUAUAAUAUUUUAAUUUUUUUUACCCUUAUAUUUAUUGGUGAAACCACUAUCAACUUUUGAUUUUCAAAUGGUAACAUAUAAUAAAAAUAUUAUGAAUUAAUAAUCCCAUUUUUAUUGUAAAUUUACGCGUUAAAAAUUUUAUUUUUCGUUGAUUGGUUCGCGAGAUACAACUCCUCAAAGUAUUGGUGGUUGAAGCCGUUGAAGGAGGUGUUAUAGUCGGUAAAUGCAGCAUUGUUUAUACAUCAUGUCUUCAUUUGUAAAGUCCAGGAGCUAUAAUUGAUAAAUUCGAUACCGUACGACCUAAUAAGUAUCAGUAUUGAUAACUGUUGUACUUUGUACCUGAUUAAUUGAAUGUCUUAUUAAACCUAUAUAUAUAUAUAUAUAUUAAAUGUAUAUAUAAUAUGCUAAUUUGACCAUAAAAUCUACGUUUUGUUGAACUUGGCUGUUCGCAUCGAAUCCCCUCCAUUGUUUUCAUUACAUGACAAUAUUAUGACAUCAUUACGACGCAUAUACCUAUUAUUACCGUACAAUGAUAAUAAUAUUACCAAAACUUUGGCGAUACCUUUAUCAUUAUUUAUGACAAUAAUAUCAUUGAUUAAAAUAUAUGAUAUUAAUUAAUUAAUGAUAAAUGAUAAUAUCAAUAGAAAACCUCGUGGAAAACCAAUCAGUAUCAGUUGUGAUAAACUGGAACUUAAGUUCAAAGUAAAAAGUAAAUUGUAAUUUGUAAUUAUUUUAAACCAUGUGGCCAGCUGCAUAGUGCUUAUUAGUUAUUACUUAAAUAAUUAAAUAUUAAAUGAUUUAAAUGUAUGAUGUAAUUAGUAAUUAAACUAAUUAUUGUAUGUUUUAUACGUUAUACCGUUAAGUAUACUAACAGUUUAAAUUUCUUUAAUAACAUAAUAAUAUACUGAAGUACUUAACGCAAUAGUUUUUGAAUAAUUAAGUUUGUCGAAAAAUUUCCAUUGAUGACAUCGUAAUUUGUGAUCUAUAUUAUUAAGUGUGGCGUAAAUUUGAUAAUACCUACCACUUGGAAAGCACAACAUUUGUACAUACAAUUUAUUGUUUAAUCAGUUUUGUUCAUUCAGUUACACCACCAAAUGUUAUUCAACAUUUGAUAACACAAAAGUUGUUUUAUUCUAAAAAUUAUUAGCUGACACCAUAGCACAAACCUAAUACAACAUAAUAUAUUAUUAACCCUAUUAUUACUUAUUACCAUCUACUCGGACACAACAAGAUGGCUGCGAGGUGCCUAUCUAUUUAUACCUACAAUAUACUUAAAAAUAUAAUGUUCUCUGUUCAGAAGUACUUUUAAUUUGCAUUUAUUCAAAUUUUGCAUUCUGGCAUAGUAAUUAUUAUUAAGAACUAACAUUAUCCGUAUUUACUACAAAAAUACUUAGUCAGAUGGUUUGAAAGAUAAAUAAUGAAAUCACAUAACUUUCUACCUCCAAAUUUGCAAAUGAGAACGAUGAUAAAUCAAAAUAUUGUUUCCAAUAUAUAAUUUUGAUAGUUGAAGAUACUAUAAAAUUAAUUAAAUAUUCAACUACUCAAGUUAAUUUCAAAGAAGUUAAAAAAUCAAGUCUGACAAUAUGUAUUCCAGAAGAAAACUAAUUCCAAUAAUAUAGUAAACUAAAAAUAUGUUAAAUGAACAUUUUAGAUACUAAUGUAUUUUUUUUUUAAUUUUAACAAAUAUUAUACAAUCAAGUUAAUUAGCUAACAACAUCAAAUCAAUCAUAAAUGUGUGGUAAAUUGUACGUUUCUUUAAAAAUUAAAAAACAAAAAAUCAUAGAUUGUUCACCUUUAUUAUUAUAUAUGGAAUUAUAAAAUAUUAUCCUUAAAU